UCCGGUUUGUCACCGGCAGUCUCCCUAGAGUUCCCGCCAUUACGCGCUGGCAACUAGGGACAAGGGUUGCGCUCGUUGCGGGACUUAACCCAACAUCUCACGACACGAGCUGACGACAGCCAUGCAGCACCUGUGUUCUGGCUCCCGAAGGCACCCCCGCGUCUCCGCAGGGUUCCAGACAUGUCAAGGGCAGGUAAGGUUCUUCGCGUUGCAUCGAAUUAAACCACAUGCUCCACCGCUUGUGCGGGUCCCCGUCAAUUCCUUUGAGUUUUACCGUUGCCGGCGUACUCCCCAGGCGGAGAACUUAACGCGUUAGCUGCGACACCGAGAGGCAAACCCUCCCAACAUCUAGUUCUCAUCGUUUACGGCGUGGACUAC
rnacentral:misc_RNA from 1 species